rnacentral:rRNA from 1 species
GGAUUAGAUACCCGGGUAGUCCACGCCGUAAACGAUGCAUGCUAGACGUUAAAACCUUCAAGGUUUUAGUGUCGCAGCUAACGCACUAAGCAUGCCGCCUGGGGAGUACGGCCGCAAGGUUGAAACUCAAAUGAAUUGACGGGGGCCCGCACAAGCGGUGGAGUAUGUGGUUUAAUUCGACGCAACGCGAAGAACCUUACCAACCUUUGACAUGUCCAGUAUGGAUCUAAGAGAUUAGAUUCUUCAGUUCGGCUGGCUGGAACACAGGUGCUGCAUGGCUGUCGUCAGCUCGUGUCGUGAGAUGUUGGGUUAAGUCCCGCAACGAGCGCAACCCUCAUCUUCAGUUGCUACCAUUUAGUUGGGCACUCUGAAGAAACCGCCGGUGACAAGG